CAGUCGCCGCGGUAAUGCGAAGGGGGCUAGCGUUGCUCGGAAUGACUGGGCGUAAAGGGCGCGUAGGCGGCGAUCAAAGUCAGGCGUGAAAUUCCUGGGCUCAACCUGGGGGCUGCGCUUGAUACUUGGUUGCUUGAGUGGGGAAGAGGGUCGUGGAAUUCCCAGUGUAGGGGUGAAAUUCGUAGAUAUUGGGAAGAACACCGGUGGCGAAGGCGGCGACCUGGUCCUUGACUGACGCUGAGGCGCGAAAGCGUGGGGAGCAAACAGGAUUAGAUACCCCCGUAGUCCCUGUCUCUUAUAC
rnacentral:rRNA from 1 species